GAUGAACGCUAGCGGCAGGCUUAACACAUGCAAGUCGAGGGGCAGCGCGGAGUAGCAAUACUCUGGCGGCGACCGGCGGAAGGGUGCGUAACACGUGAGCAACUUGCCCGUGACAGGGGGAUAAGCGAUGGAAACGUCGUCUAACAUCCCGUAACACGAGGGGAGGCAUCUCCCUUCGUUGAAAACUCCGGUGGUCACGGAUGGGCUCGCGGGACAUUAGCUAGUUGGCGGGGCAACGGCCCACCAAGGCGACGAUGUCUAGGGGUUCUGAGAGGAAGAUCCCCCCCACUGGAACUGAGACACGGUCCAGACUCCUACGGGAGGCAGCAGUGAGGAAUAUUGGACAAUGGAGGCAACUCUGAUCCAGCCAUGCCGCGUGAAGGACGAAGGCCCUAUGGGUCGUAAACUUCUUUUGUCAGGGAGCAAUAAGGGUCACGCGUGGCCCGACGAGAG
rnacentral:rRNA from 1 species